CGGGGCGUGGCGCAGUUUGGUAGCGCGCCUGCUUUGGGAGCAGGAUGUCGCAGGUUCGAAUCCUGUCGCCCCGACCA
rnacentral:tRNA from 1 species